rnacentral:rRNA from 1 species
AGUGAACGCUGGCGGUAGGCCUAACACAUGCAAGUCGAACGGCAGCACAGUAAGAGCUUGCUCUUACGGGUGGCGAGUGGCGGACGGGUGAGGAAUACAUCGGAAUCUACUUUUUCGUGGGGGAUAACGUAGGGAAACUUACGCUAAUACCGCAUACGACCUACGGGUGAAAGCAGGGGAUCUUCGGACCUUGCGCGAUUGAAUGAGACGAUGUCGGAUUAGCUAGUUGGCGGGGUAAAGGCACACCAAGGCGACGAUCCGUAGCUGGUCUGAGAGGAUGAUCAGCCACACUGGAACUGAGACACGGUCCAGACUCCUACGGGAGGCAGCAGUGGGGAAUAUUGGACAAUGGGCGCAAGCCUGAUCCAGCCAUACCGCGUGGGUGAAGAAGGCCUUCGGGUUGUAAAGCCCUUUUGUUGGGAAAGAAAAGCAGCAGGUUAAUACCCCGCUGUUCUGACGGUACCCAAAGAAUAAGCACCGGCUAACUUCGUG